rnacentral:sRNA from 1 species
CAUGCGAGUGAGACGCGGUUGGAGGCCAAGGUCAAGUUGAAGUUGCAGUGUUGCCAAAAAG